AUAAGAUAGUAGUUAGAUCAGUUCAUUUCUUCCUGUCUUGUUCCUGGAAAGCUAACAUCACAAAUUACUUAUCUUGAGAAUUAUGGGUCAGUCAUAACAUCUUUGAAGAGGAAGAUCAAGAGCAAAAUGUAUGUUACUAAUUACCUGUGGGAAACCAUUAGAAACUGACAUCCCUUUGGGACCUUCUGUCUAUCUUGGGUCAUAAGGGAUCUGGAAUGAUCCUGACUGCCCAUUUGCCAUGAAAUGAAGAAACUAAAUUGUGACCACAUGCUUGACAUCAUCACAAAUAAACCAAUCCUUUCCAUUAAGGAAACUAAAGGAGAGUGAUAUUUUCCUUGGCCAUUGUAGUCCCAAACCAAGAUCAAUAGACCAACUUGUAGCCACAACACAUCACAGCCACAGAGGGGCCAGACACUUGGUAUGUGAACACACAGCUCAAAUACCACUCCCUCAGAUUCCAUUACAAAAAUAAUAAAAUUUGGGAGGAAGUGAGAUUGGGAAACUAAUGCACGUGGAAGACUCAAGACAUCCUCCUAUUUGUUUUUCUUUUGUUUCUAGGCCUCAAGCCAGGAAGGCCCUCUUCCCUAUGGUUGCCUGGUUACCAUGAGAGAACCUCGCCAUGGUAACAUCUGGAAUAAAGGUGGGAACCACAGAGAUAGAGGGAAUGGCACCUGAUGAAAUGGAGCAAGUGGAGGAGUUUCUGGACCAGCACUGAAUGCCUGCACCAAGCAGAAGAGGGCCUGGAGCUAAGCAGCAGCAAGGCAAAGAGCAAUAAAUUAGAGCAAGUGUCAAAGUUUUUCCCAUUGGCAGGCUGGUAUUUCACCAUCAACAUGUCCCAAAGUCACCAGAACUAUGUCUGGAGUUGUGCCUUCCCAGAAGAGCUC
rnacentral:lncRNA from 1 species